rnacentral:lncRNA from 1 species
AGCACAGCCAUAUUCCUGCACGAUACAUCAAUGGUGUACCCUCUGUCUUUGCUGUUUUUUGGUGGUGGGUUUGAAUUUAAAUCCGAUGGAGAGGGUGGAACUGUUAUCGAGAUUAACGACGAGCUGAAAUUUCACUGUGAUAAUAAAACAGCUGAUCUCAUUAAGGAAUUGAAAUUGCGGUUAGAUAUGCUCCUAGAAUACAAAUCCUCACAUCCUGGAGUCACAGACUGGACUCAAAACUCAAACGAAGGCGCCAUAUUAAGAGCUAUAACCCGUUUAUUAACUUCUGAAGAUCAAUUUGUCUUAAGGAAGUUAGCAAGUAGUUAAAGACCCCACCUUACUGGUUCAUACAGUCAGCUUCACAGGGCCCAGAAAAUCUCUCAGGAGAUUUUAAACAAUAUCGACAAAUUUUACCGCUGCACAAGCUGUCAUAAAUCGAUCGAUCAUCUGUCAUCUGGGAAGAAUCUCACCUAGAGGUUACGCUCAAUCACUUCUCAAGACUUCAAUUUUUAUCGGAAAUCAGUCAAUAGGAUCACUCGACCAUUCAACGAAGAAAUUUGCUCACAUGGAGCACUCUAUCCAAUCUUUUUAGUUAUUUUUAUCUGGGAUAAAUUAUUUCAUGCUUUCUAUUUUAUUUUUAUCAAAAAGUUUGGCAAGUACUACCUCAUUAAAUGCUUUAAGAGUAAUAGCUCCAAGAUUUUACUGCCAUUAAUUAAGGCGCCGGUUGCGAGAAGGGCAUCUCUCGAUUGUGGCGUUUUAAAAUCUUUGUUGUUAAUUUAUGUCUGAGAGGAAAAUUUAAUGGGCGACUUUCCGUGAUUUUUUCUAUGAAAAUACUGUAGAUUUUUAAAGAUUCAGUAAAAAUUUCAAUGAAAUGCAUCCAUUUACUUUCCUGACUAUGAAUAAACUAUUAGCGGAGAUUCUGAAAUAUCGCAACAAAGAAGUGCUCUUCUCGCACUCUGAAUCUUAAUUAUCUGGCUCACAGAUGGAAAAGUGUUGAUUUCUUUAUUUACCAAAUUAGAAUCAGAUUUGUUUCUGGCAAGAAUGUCUCCACUAAGAGCACCCCACUGUGAUUUUUUUUUACAUUUAUUUCAACAUUUUACUGAAAGAGUCCUGUAAUCAGGGACUUGAUAUUUUAUGUAAUUCUCUCACUGUUUGAGGAUCCCUCUUUUUACUCAUUCAAAAGUAAUAUCUCAACAGUUAAUUUUUGUACACUGCACGUUUCUUGAUUACUGUAGAAAGUUCGUUCUCCAUAGUGAGAAGACAUUGAGGUUGCUUCUUUGGCUGAAAUACUGGUUUCCAAUUUGAUAUUUUACCGGAAGAUGUUAUCAUGUUAAGAAGUACUAUUAAUGGUGAAGGUUAACAAAUUCCAGAUCUUGAUUUGCGACAUCAUAGAUUCUUUCUAGUGUUUUCUAAUACUAGAGGAAACCAGGGGAUACGCCCCUUGGCCGCUGAACGAGGUGUGAUCAAAAAGUUCCCGGAAUUUUCCCGCCAUUUCUUUAAAAAUGGUCGUAUUGAGUCGAUCUUGGGCGUUUUGGAAAGCUAAAGACCUCCCAAAUACGGCGGUGUUUUGGUUUUAGACCUACCUUUAUACCUUUAUUAGUUUUUUUACAGCACUCGUCAAAAGGGGUACAUGUUUGCAAUGAUCUGCAAUGAAGUUAUACAAGAGAAAGGAAUUGAAUUUGAAAAGCAAUUUUACAUGUUGAAAUAUUUCUUUUACCUGACAGGAGUUAAAUGUCGAAUUCGUCUCCUUCGGAAUACUGUCCUUCAGAGUCCAUGCAGUGAUCCCAACGUUUCUUCCACUUGUGGAACGCCUCUUGGAAGUCGGUUUCGGUCAACGAAUUAAACAUAUUCUGCGACUCGCAUUGGAUCUGUUUGACUUUGUUAAAACGCCGGCCUUUCAUGCUGAGUUUUGUUUUUAGAAACAAGAAGAAAUCACCUGGAGCCAGAUCCGGAGAAUGAGGAAGAUAGGAAGAUGUGGAAGUACAUCACGUUUACCCUUUGCUCGAUUUUCAAAAGCAUCUUUGCCAAAACUAAAAUUUAGACACAAACAGAAACACCAAAUAGAGCCACUGGAAGAUGCACACUGACCAGGUCUCCGAAAAUGCAUUUUACUUGGCCAAAAGACAGCAGCAUCAGUUGAAUAACAAGUGAGACACAUUAUCAAGAUACCUGCUCGAUAUCUUAUCAGUGUUGCGAUUGAACUCAUCCUUUCUUGUCCGCCAAAAAUCAAGCUAUGCAGUUGAGUGACAUUUUCAUAUUUCAUCACAAAUAUUUCAUUGCAGAUCAAUGCAAACAUGUACCCCUUUCGACGAGUGCUGUAAAUAAACUAUUAAAGCUAGCUCAAAAACCAAAACACCGUCGUAUUGGUGAGGUCUUUACUUUCCAAAACGCCCAAGAUCAACUCAAAACUACCAUUUUUAAAGAAAUGGCGGGAAAAUUCCGGGAAUUUUUUGAUCACACCUUGUAAAUAAUGAAAAUCGGCAGGGUAGAUCUUUAGAACAAACUGUGACAGAGACGGAACAUUUGUAUUAUUCAAAUGGGAGAAUCCACAACCUUAUCAUGUGAUAUAAAUAAACCUAAACCAUAUGUUCAAAAUCUAAAAAAGGUGGGCUUAGUUAGGGACCAUCGCCUAUCAAUAGAGGGAACAAUCCUGGAAAUUGGCCCAGUAGAAUGGUAGAACAAUUUUUGACAAAAAAUGAAAAUUUAGGAGGUCGUUUAUAAUAAUUAAUGAUUAGUAAACAUAUUUUUGGAAGUGCUAUUGAUUAUUCUCUCUUCUACAGAGAAUAUUCUGUGAAAAUGUAAAAAAAAUAAUGUUCUUCUGUUGUAUACUUGUUAUAAUUAAAAUCAGCCAUAAUUUUGAAAUUUUGCUAUCAAGGUUCAAGUUUUUUGACUUUUCACAAUCAAUCUUUGGUAUGUCUAUUUUUGAUAAAUCCUUUUAGAAAGUAUUAAUACAUUUAGGCUCCAAAUAUGAAAGUCUUCAUCAGAUCUCACUUGUUAAAGAGAGGAUUUUUGUAUCUCAACCCUUUCGACCAAUCAAAAGUCUUGGAGAAAGAAAGUGGCUGAAGGAAACCCAGUGGACAUAACUUGUAUAUUGUUUUUCACUGAAGAUAAGGAUCUCUGAUUGUGGUCAACCGGCAUUUGAUCUGUACUUAGGUUUUAGUUAAGUCAAAAAUGUGAACAAAUUCUUGAACGGAAUAAAAUUGUGGAAUUCAAAGAAAAAACAGAGAAUUUGUACGGGAAAAUGUUUUUCAUUCUAUCACGUUUGCUUUUGGUAUUUCAUACAAUACUUUUUGCACAAAAAAGUCUUAUUUUUAUCUUCUAAUUUCGUAAUUUUUCUUUGGCCAAAUGGACCAAUAGACCAAUUCAUAGACACAAUGCAUUUCUUUUUUUUUUUCAGUAAUAAAACCAGACUUCUCAUGACUUGUGUCUAUUGAAUGGAGACAUAACAUUAAGGGGAGCAAUUUUGUGAAGUUCAGUCAAAGAGGCAGAAUUUGUUCCUUUCCUGGAAAAAAUCCUCAAAAUGAAUAGCAGGAGGUUCAGUUCAUAUUUAUACUAACAGAGAAGUUAUCUCUGAUUUCACAAUUUUCAGCUCCCAAAUCAGCUUUUAGGAACUUCUAAACUUCAUUACUUUAGCAUGAUUUGGUAUUUUCAGAUGCUUUUUCAUGCCUUAGUGUUCUUAGGACAAGCAUCCAAGCAACAGUACCAAUAUUUUAAAAAUGAAGGUUUUAUCACUGAGACCCCUUUUUUCAUUGAAUAUGAGUGUCAGUCUCUACUAUGAAUGGAAGUCCUACGUUCCUUGUUUUUCUUCGUGAAAAUUUUAAGUAGAGAACAAUUCACACAUCAAUUCGUUCCAAACUAAACUUCAUUGUUUAUGAAUAACAUUAGUCAAAUUACAUAAUACAAAUGAUUUCAUUCGUGUGUCUCAUUGAUCUAUUUGACCUGUGUUGAAAGCUCAUAUUAAUGCCUUAAGACAAGUAGAGUUCAAGCCAAAGUUUAAGCACCCUUAGACUAUGACAGAAGAUCCACCACUUAGAUUCUUGAAUUCUUUUUCCACGCUACAAUGACGUCAGACGAUCGUAGUCUAAUAGUGCGUGACCUUAUUUGGCGUGGACUCUAACAUUGUGUUUUCAUUCAUACCUUGUCCAGCAGUCCUUGUGACCCUCCUGGUACUCAAU